rnacentral:rRNA from 1 species
UACGUAGGGUGCAAGCGUUGCCCGGAUUUAUUGGGCGUAAAGGGCGCGUAGGCGGCUCGGCACGUCCGUUGUGAAAUCGCCCGGCUCAACUGGGCGGGGUCAGCGGAUACGGCCGAGCUUGAGCAAGCUAGGGGGCAAUGGAAUUCCCGGUGUAGUGGUGGAAUGCGUAGAUAUCGGGAGGAACACCUGUGGCGAAAGCGGCUCACUGGACCAUUACUGACGCUGAGGCGCGAAAGCUAGGGGAGCAAACGGG